rnacentral:rRNA from 1 species
GACGAACGCUGGCGGCGUGCUUAACACAUGCAAGUCGAACGGAAAGGCCCUGCUUUUGUGGGGUGCUCGAGUGGCGAACGGGUGAGUAACACGUGAGUAACCUGCCCUUGACUUUGUGAUAACGUCAGGAAACUGGGGCUAAUACCGGAUAGGAGCUCCUGCUGCAUGGUGGGGGUUGGAAAGUUUCGGCGGUUGGGGAUGGACUCGCGGCUUAUCAGCUUGUUGGUGGGGUAGUGGCUUACCAAGGCUUUGACGGGUAGCCGGCCUGGGAGGGUGGCCGGCCACAUUGGGACUGAGAGAGGGCCCAGAGUCGAACGGGAGGCAGCAGGGGGGAAUAUUGCACAAUGGGCGGAAGCGUGAUGCAGCAACGCCGCGUGCGGGAUGACGGCCUUCGGGUUGUAAACCGCUUUCGCCUGUGACGAAGCGUGAGUGACGGUAAUGGGUAAAGAAGCACCGGCUAACUACGUG